UUGGCUACGGCCCGGACCCCUUCCUGCAGCUGACUCCCCAUUGGCUGAAGCCGGGAACCGCGAGACCCUUCGUGUAAGAACACUCCAUCUGAGACAGCAGCUACAAUUGGAGUCACCAACCGAUGAAGUUUACAAGAGUUCGCAGUCAUUCUUCAGGAUCCCAUCGGAUGCCUGCACAGCAGGCUGUGCAUCUAUUUGUUCUUAGGAACACGAUGACAAACUAGCUGUUGCCAAAGAUUACUGGGGCCAAGACAUUCUGAUUGCUGGUAUGUCUCUGCUGCCCUUUCCAGCAGAUGCACGCAUCUUGUCUUUGGCCUCUGCUACUGCAGAUUCUCAUUAUCCCCACUGACAUCAGGGAGCCCAUUUCGGAGGUGGCAUCCUCUAUGGUAAUACUUGGCUUACACAAGCAGCAACAACAGAGCUUUUCAAUGCUGCAGGUGUUUCCCUCACUAAUGUAUUUUUCAGUGCCCUAGUGAAGGAAGUGUCUCUUAGGCCUGGUGGAAUAUCCU